rnacentral:lncRNA from 1 species
AUGCUGUUACUUGCACUUGGGUGGGCACUUCUCUUGGCAUUGUUGGGGAGGUGGCACAGGAGGGCAUUUCUGCUGGCACUUUGGAGGUGGGCAAGGCUCAGGGCACUUUGGAGGUGGGCAAGGCUCAGGACACUUUGGAGGUGGGCAAGGCUCAGGACACUUUGGAGGUGGGCAGGGCUCAGGGCACUUGGGAGGGCACACUACUGGAGGUGGCUGGCAGGGCUGCUUGCACUGCUGCUGCUGAUAAGACAUCUUUCUGGAGUAUUAGAAUCUGAAAGAAAUUACACGACAGUGUUCACAACAAGGAACUGCUACAAGGAGAAAAUCUGAGCUUAUGUAAUACCAUCAGAUAGAAUCUCUCUAGUCUCUAACGUGCUUAAUGUCUUCUACUCUUUUUAACAAAUUUCUGACUUCUCCCUCAUUAAGAGAGUUUUUAAUUAGUCAGAAGAAAACCUUCUCUCAUACAAUUAUUACAAAAUUUGUUUUUUGUUUGAAAGAACCAAGCAAUAUUUUUAAUUGUUACUUUGAUUUUAUGAAAAUAGCAUCUUUAAGAAAACCCAUCAUAAGUUCUGAAAUUCUGUGUAAGCUCACAAGCAACUUCCAUCAUCAUUAUCUCUCAUGAAGUCCAAACUGGAUGACUUGUGUACAGAGCAAAGGUUCACCAAGAAGGAUACAAGGGUUCUCCACCUUCUAAGAUAAAUGCUUCUCUACCAGAGCAGAGGGAUACCCAAAAAUACAGAAAACGGAAAAGUACUUUUGUCCUUACCUCUUCAUGUCAAAAACUUCAUAUUUAUUUUAUUUUUCAAUAAGAUAAUUCAAACAUUGUACCAGAAACUUAAUAAAUACAAUAUAUCAUUGGGCUUAAAUUUCAAGUUCCUAUCAACCAUCAACAGAGUAGCAUUAAACACGAUUAUAACUUUGGACACAGCAUAUUUGCUCUCUGCAGCAUAAAUUCAACAUUGGGAGCCCCAGAACAAAGUAGAACCGAAGGAUCAGACUCACCAGUUCUCCAAAAUCAAUCGGAACUUGAGUAGCAGGAGGAUGGUGGUGGUGCAGCAGAGGGUCUUUUUAUAGGGCUUGCUGCCCCUCCCAGGGGAGGUGGAGCUGCCAAAACUGGCCUGGUUCAGUCAUUUCCCAAGCAAAAUGCAAAUCCAUCCAUAAGUGGCUUGACAGGGACUCUGAAAAGAGGAAACAUCCUGCUCCAGGAUGGAACAUAAUCUCCUACUGGAUUAUGUUCUCAUGACUCAGAGUCUCUGCCUUAGCUCUCAGGGAUUUUCAGCAGUGGGAGGAUUUGGCAGGUUCUCCAACUUGUACUCAAAGGCUCCCCUUCUUGUUUGAGGAAGAUGGCUCUUUUCUAUCUUUCGCCUUCUUUGAGUUAUAAAACUUCCUAUGUUGUUCCACUUGAACUGGUUGCCAUUUUGCAGUACAUACUAAGUUGAAAAGGGCCUGGCUACCUGGCGACAGCCUUCUUUUUACCGCAGGUUCUUCUUAUAAUGGUUU